GAUGAAGAACGCAGCGAAAUGCGAUAAGUAAUGUGAAUUGCAGAAUUCAGUGAAUCAUCGAAUCUUUGAACGCACAUUGCGCCCGCCAGUAUUCUGGCGGGCAUGCCUGUUCGAGCGUCAUUUCAACCAUCAAGCCCCAGGCUUGUGUUGGGGACCUGCGGCUGCCGCAGGCCCUGAAAACCAGUGGCGGGCUCGCUGUCACACCGGGCGUAGUAGAUUUUAUCUCGCUCAGGGCGUGCUGCGGGUUCCGGCCGUUAAAAAGCCUUUUUUACCCAAGGUUGAACUCGGAUCAGGUAGGAAGACCCGCUGAACUUAAGCAUAUCAAUAAGCGGAGGA
rnacentral:misc_RNA from 1 species